GGGGAAUAUUGGACAAUGGGCGCAAGCCUGAUCCAGCAACGCCGCGUGGAGGACGAAGGUCUUCGGAUCGUAAACUCCUGUCAGACGGGACGAAGGUUUCCGUGCGAACAGUGCGGAAGCUUGACGGUACUGUCAGAGGAAGCCCCGGCUAACUCCGUGCCAGCAGCCGCGGUAAUACGGAGGGGGCUAGCGUUAUUCGGAAUUAUUGGGCGUAAAGGGCGCGUAGGCGGCCCGGUAAGUCAAAGGUGAAAUCCCUCGGCUCAACUGAGGAACUGCCUUUGAAACUGUCGGGCUUGAGGCCGGGAGGGGGUAGCGGAAUUCCCAGUGUAGCGGUGAAAUGCGUAGAUAUUGGGAGGAACACCGGUGGCGAAGGCGGCUACCUGGACCGGUUCUGACGCUGAUGCGCGAAAGCGUGGGUAGCAAACAGGAUUAGAUACCCUGGUAGUCCACGCUGUAAACGAUGAGUGCUCGGUGUCGCGGGUAUCGACCCCUGCGGUGCCUUAGCUAACGCGUUAAGCACUCCGCCUGGGGAGUACGGUCGCAAGGCUGA
rnacentral:rRNA from 1 species